rnacentral:lncRNA from 10 species
CUGGAAGGCACCAGCAUGUGCACGUGGCAACUGAGGUCGAGGACGUGCCUGAGAGAGAGGAGGAAGGUGCCCUGCGGACCGGCACGUGCCCAGCUUCCUUUCAAGUCUCUGGCCAAUGCAAUGUGAGCAGAAGUGAAGGGGCAACUUUCAGGUGAUGACUUGGAAAAGAAAGCUUAGUCCUCUGCUUCUCCUGUCACCCGAAAGAGAAACAGAGGCUUGUCUUGUUGAAGCCAGUGUGUUUGGUGUCUUUUUGUAUAGUGGCUUAGACAGUGGCCUAACUAGAAGACCAAGGCUCAAAGGAACACAUUUUGAGCUUCUCCACAGUUUGAGAACCUCUACAUUACCUACACCAAGCCUUCCCCAGCACUCAAUUUAUGGAAGACCAUUUCUCUUCUCAUGACACAUGUCCUCAUGUUGC